rnacentral:tRNA from 1 species
GCGCCCGUAGCUCAGAUGGAUAGAGCGACAGCCUUCUAAGCUGUUUGCCCGGGGUUCGAAUCCCUGCGGGCGCGCCA